UACGGGGGGAGCAAGCGUUGUUCGGAUUUACUGGGCGUAAAGGGCGCGUAGGCGGCCAGCACAAGUCAGUUGUGAAAUCUCCGAGCUUAACUCGGAAAGGUCAACUGAUACUGUGCGGCUAGAGUGCGGAAGGGGCAACUGGAAUUCUUGGUGUAGCGGUGAAAUGCGUAGAUAUCAAGAGGAACACCUGCGGCGAAGGCGGGUUGCUGGGCCGACACUGACGCUGAGGCGCGAAAGCAUGGGGAGCGAACAGG
rnacentral:rRNA from 1 species